CCGGUCGUGGCGGAGGGUGAGUACGCGUGGGCAACCUGCCCCUGACCGGGGGAUAGCCUCUGGAAACCGCGAUUAAAACCUCAUAAUGCCAUUGCUCACAUUUCUUGGUGGCCAAAGAUUUAUCUGUCAGGGAUGGGCCUGCGUCUGAUUAGCCAGUUGGUGGGGUAACGGCCCACCAAAGCGACGAUCAGUAGCCGGCCUGAGAGGGUGAUCGGCCACAUUGGAACUGAGACACGGUCCAAACUCCUACGGGAGGCAGCAGUGGGGAAUAUUGCACAAUGGGGGAAAGCCUGAUGCAGCAACGCCGCGUGAGUGAAGAAGGCCUUCGGGUCGUAAAGCUCUGUCCUUGGGGAAGAAAAGAAUGACAGUGCCCUAGGAAGAAGCCCCAGCAAAAUACCCCCCCUCAUUCGGGGGUAAUACGACGCGGUAAUACGA
rnacentral:rRNA from 2 species